CCGCGUGAGUGAUGAAGGUUUUCGGAUCGUAAAACUCUGUUGUCAGGGAAGAACAAGUAUCGGAGUAACUGCCGGUACCUUGACGGUACCUGACCAGAAAGCCACGGCUAACUACGUGCCAGCAGCCGCGGUAAUACGUAGGUGGCAAGCGUUGUCCGGAAUUAUUGGGCGUAAAGCGCGCGCAGGCGGUCUUUUAAGUCUGAUGUGAAAGCCCCCGGCUCAACCGGGGAGGGUCAUUGGAAACUGGGAGACUUGAGUGCAGAAGAGAAGAGUGGAAUUCCACGUGUAGCGGUGAAAUGCGUAGAGAUGUGGAGGAACACCAGUGGCGAAGGCGACUCUUUGGUCUGUAACUGACGCUGAGGCGCGAAAGCGUGGGGAGCGAACAGGAUUAGAUACCCUGGUAGUCCACGCCGUAAACGAUGAGUGCUAAGUGUUAGAGGGUUUCCGCCCUUUAGUGCUGCAGCAAACGCAUUAAGCACUCCGCCUGGGGAGUACGGUCGCAAGACUGAAACUCANAGGAAUUGACGGGGGCCCGCACAAGCGGUGGAGCAUGUGGUUUAAUUCGAAGCAACGCGAAGAACCUUACCAGGUCUUGACAUCCUUAUGACUUCCCUAGAGAUAGGGCUUCCCCUUCGGGGGCAUAAGUGACAGGUGGUGCAUGGUUGUCGUCAGCUCGUGU
rnacentral:rRNA from 1 species